UACGUAGGGGGCAAGCGUUGUCCGGAAUUAUUGGGCGUAAAGAGCGUGUAGGCGGUCCGGUAAGUCAGCUGUGAAAGUCCAGGGCUCAACCCUGGAAUGCCGGUGGAUACUGUCGGGCUAGAGUCCGGAAGAGGCGAGUGGAAUUCCUGGUGUAGCGGUGAAAUGCGCAGAUAUCAGGAGGAACACCAAUGGCGAAGGCAGCUCGCUGGGACGUGACUGACGCUGAGACGCGAAAGCGUGGGGAGCAAACAGG
rnacentral:rRNA from 1 species